GGAUGAACGCUGGCGGCGUGCCUAAUACAUGCAAGUCCAGCGAACAGACGAGGAGCUUGCUCCUCUGACGUUAGCGGCGGACGGGUGAGUAACACGUGGAUAACCUACCUAUAAGACUGGGAUAACUUCGGGAAACCGGAGCUAAUACCGGAUAAUAUAUUGAACCGCAUGGUUCAAUAGUGAAAGACGGUUUUGCUGUCACUUAUAGAUGGAUCCGCGCCGCAUUAGCUAGUUGGUAAGGUAACGGCUUACCAAGGCAACGAUGCGUAGCCGACCUGAGAGGGUGAUCGGCCACACUGGAACUGAGACACGGUCCAGACUCCUACGGGAGGCAGCAGUAGGGAAUCUUCCGCAAUGGGCGAAAGCCUGACGGAGCAACGCCGCGUGAGUGAUGAAGGUCUUCGGAUCGUAAAACUCUGUUAUUAGGGAAGAACAAAUGUGUCAGUAACUAUGCACGUCUUGACGGUACCUAAUCAGAAAGCCACGGCUAACUACGUG
rnacentral:rRNA from 1 species